UCUAUAAAUAAUUAUUUUUAAACCGAAAGCUUUGGAUCUCUUUUGUGGCUGCUUAGCGUGUGUGCUCGGGUCGAGAAAGUAGACUGCAGAUGUGUUGUGAUAAAUCAAACGUCAAAGCUUAUAUCUGUUUAACAACUAUGUAGUUUAAAGUAUCUAUACAGUUUAGAGAUUGUGUGGAUGAGUAUAUUUUUACUAUUUUACUUUUAUAAUAGGGUUAAAAGUACCCAGUUAUUGCAAGAUUGUUCAAAACUAGCAUUAGAUCGUGGAAAAGUAAAGUUACGUUAUGUGUUGUUUAAUUAAAUUUUUUGAGGUUAAGAAUAUCUGAAUUAGUAAUAAAAAAAAAGUAAUUAUUUCUCAAGUUUUGCCCGUCUGUUUAUUAAAAACAUUGCCAUACUGUAUGUUUUAUGGUAGUACCUGCUCUAUGCAUAUUUUUGUAAAUGGCCGCAGUAUUUUGACUGUGCGAAGGUAGCAUAAUUAAUUGCCUUGUAAUUGAGGGCUUGUUUGAAUGGUUUGACGCGGUGAUUACAAAUAUUUAUUUUUUAGCUGAAAUUGUUUAGGAGGGCACAGAAUCCUCCGACCUUAAUUAGACGGAAAGACCCCAGGAUCUUUCAUUUUUGUCUGGGGCAGAUGAGGAUGUUUUAUUCUUAUUUUGACCCUUUUAGGUAUAGUGGUUUAAGUUACCCUGGGGAUAACAGUGUCAUAGUUUAUGAGAGGUCUUAUCGAAUAAACUGCUUGCUACCUCGAUGUUGACUUAGGUAAAUAGGUUGGGCGUAGCCGUCUAACUUUUUGGUCUGUUCGA
rnacentral:rRNA from 1 species